rnacentral:rRNA from 1 species
UACGAAGGAUCCUAGCGUUGCUCGGAAUCACUGGGCGUAAAGCGUUUGUAGGCGGCUCUAUAAGUCGGGUGUGAAAUCCCACGGCUCAACCGUGGAAGUGCAUUCGAAACUGCAGAGCUUGAAUAUGGUAGAGGAGAGUAGAAUUCCUGGUGUAGUGGUGAAAUACGUAGAUAUCAGGAGGAAUACCGGUGGCGAAGGCGGCUCUCUGGACCAAUAUUGACGCUGAGAAACGAAAGUGCGGGGAUCAAACAGG